rnacentral:rRNA from 1 species
AGUGAACGCUGGCGGUAGGCCUAACACAUGCAAGUCGAACGGCAGCACAGUAAGAGCUUGCUCUUACGGGUGGCGAGUGGCGGACGGGUGAGGAAUACAUCGGAAUCUACUUUUUCGUGGGGGAUAACGUAGGGAAACUUACGCUAAUACCGCAUACGACCUACGGUUGAAAGCAUGGGAUCUUCGGACCUUGCGCGAUUGAAUGAGCCGAUGUCGGAUUAGCUAGUUGGCGGGGUAAAGGCCCACCAAGGCGACGAUCCGUAGCUGGUCUGAGAGGAUGAUAGGCCACACUGGAACUGAGACACGGUCCAGACUCCUACGGGAGGCAGCAGUGGGGAAUAUUGGACAAUGGGCGCAAGCCUGAUCCAGCCAUACCGCGUGGGUGAAGAAGGCCUUCGGGUUGUAAAGCCCUUUUGUUGGGAAAGAAAAGCAGCAGGUUAAUACCCCGCUGUUCUGACGGUACCCAAAGAAUAAGCACCGGCUAACUUCGUG